UUCAGGGAAAAACUGUUUUAAACUUAAAAAUUAAAUUUAUUUUAAUUUGUGAAGAAACAAUUAUUUAAAUUAAGGACAAGAAGACCCUAAGAAUUUUAAAGAUAAUAAUUUUAAUAUUAAAAUUAUUAUCUUUUGGUUGGGGCAACUAAAAAAGAUUAUAAACUUUUUAUUUAAUAAAAUGACCCAUUAUUAAUGAUAAUUUGAUAAAAAUACUCUAGGGAUAACAGCGUAAUAAUUUUUGAUAGAACAUAUAGACAAAAUAGUUUGCGACCUCGAUGUUGGAUUAGGAUACUUUUUUAAUGAAGAUGUUAAAAAAAGAAGUUUGUUCAACUUUUAAAGUCCU
rnacentral:rRNA from 1 species